UUGUGGGGCCAGGUGUUUUAGCGGGGGGACCAUUACCGAGUUUACAACUCCCAACCCAAUGUGAACGUACCAAACUGUUGCCU
rnacentral:rRNA from 1 species